rnacentral:lncRNA from 1 species
AUAUAAUUUCUCUUUUAUUUGUGAAGGUAGGUACUUUUGUGAAUAUUAAUCAAAAGAUGGAUUAGAUUUUUAAAAGAUAAAAAGAAAAAAAAAGAGAUAGUCUUAAUUUUGGCUUAGUCGUAUAUAUCUUGGGUUAAUUGCAUAUAGCUCCCUAUAAGCAUAUCGAAUAGCAGAUAUAUUUCUAUAAAAGUUUAACUUUUUAUAUUUAUUCUAACAAAAGUCCUAAUAUUUUCAAAUAUAUCUGUGCUGUUAUGAUCCAUUAGACAAAUACUUAACCAUAGAUAAAAUACUUAAUCCGGAUUAGUGAAUGAUGUAAAUUGACCUUUUCACUUCUGUUAUGUUAUUUGUAAAUUGUAAUGGUAGAAAGGAAGAAGAUCAUCGGAGAUUUUUGGGAGAAUAUUUCAUCAUAGUUCAACAGUUAGAACUUUUAGAGAGACAUAUUUGUGAUGACAAAAAUAUUCUUUUCCAUUAAAAAAUAAACAAUGUUCUAAUGGUAACAAACCAGAUAAGCAAAUAUGAAUAUCACUGAACUUUUAUAGGAAUAAAUAUAAAAAGUUAAACUUUGUAAGAAUAUAUUGGCUAUUCGAUAUACUUAUACGGAGAUGUAUGAAAUUAAUCCUCCUUUCUUCUGUAAGAAUCUCCAUAUUUGAGCUAAACUACACCAAGGCUUGCACAAGUACACAUUCACAAUUAAUCAAUAAGCAAAAAAAAAAAAACCAUUAUUAAUCAAAAUAAUAUAUAUAUAUAUAUAUAUAGUGGGCUGGUAUGCUUAUGGAAGCACGGAGCCCUCCGUGCUUCCAAGUUGUUUUUCAUGUUUGGACUUUCAGAUCGACGAUCGGCUCCGUUAGAGUUGAUCUAGAGUAUUUGAAGUACCUAGAAAAUAAAUUUUAUGAUUUUUCGAUAUCAUUUGCCUAGUGAUCGAAGGGGCUCAAAAUCAAUAAUUUUAAUGGCCGUGGUGAGCCAGUUGCUAGUUUAACGGUGUAGAAAUACCCAAAUCACAUAAAAUUUUGAUAGAAAAUUCUUUAUACCAUAUAAAACAAAAUCAAUAAUUUUGAUUUAAAAUUUUAAUGUCGUAUCAUCAUAUUUUGUAAGAUUUUUAUUUUCAGCCGUUGAUUUUGAGCCACUUCGAUCACUAGACCAAUGAUAUCGAAAAAUAGCAAAAUUUAUUUUCUAGAUAGUUCAAAUACUCUAGAUCAAGUCUAACGGAGCCGAUCAUCAAUUCGAAAGUCCGAACAUCGAAAACAAAGUAGAAGCACGGAGCCCUCCAUGCUUCCAUAAGCAUCCUAGCCGCACUCUAUAUAUAUAUAUAUAUAUAGCAGGGCUGCUAUGCUCUCACAAGCACGGCCUCCGUACUCCUGAGCCGUUUUCGAUUAUAGAAUUUUCGAAUCGACAAUCCGCUCCGUUAGACUUGAUCUAGCGCAUUUGACGUUUCUAGAAAAUAACUUUUGCGAUUUUUCGAUAUCAUUUACCUAGUGAUCGAAAGAAUUCAAAAUCCAUAAUUUUUAAUGGUUGAUAUCUGCCAUUUCAAGUUUAACGGUGUAGGAGUAUUUAAAUCAGAUGAAAUUUUGAUAUAAAAUUCUUUAUACUAUCUACAACAAGAUCAAUAUUUCUGAUCGAAAAUUUUAAUGCUAUAUCACCACAAUUUAUAGGGGUUGAUAUCUGUCGUUUUCAAGUUUAACAGUAUAAGAGUAUUCAAAUCAGAUGAAAUUUUGAUACAAAAUUCUUUAUACUAUCUACAACAAGAUCAAUAUUUCUGAUCGAAAAUUUUAAUGCUAUAUUACCACUUUUUAUAGGAUUUUUAUUUUCAGCCGUUAAAAAUUAUUGAUUUUGAAUUCUUUCUAUUGGAUAAAAUAUUUAAAUAUCCAAAAAUAUAAGUCGCAAAAAUCUCAUAGAUUUUUAUAUACCUCUUUUGUUGCGGAAUGUAUUACGAUCGCGAAUGACUUCAAUUUGUUAUACGUUGUUCUUACUCGUUGCAAUCCGGCUAUUAGAGUCGAUCGCCGCACACUGCCCAAAUCUCCAGGGUUUAUGAUGGUGCCCUAGAGCGAACCUAAGAGAGAGAAUUUUGUGGAGAGAUGAUUCUUUUUUUUUUUGUGUUCUUUCGUGUGUCAUAUGUAGUCAAUAUCUCAUGUAUUUAUAGGCCAUAAGGGAGACAUUAAUCCUAAUCAUAUUCUAACUAAAUCUCACAUAGAUAGAGAUUUAAAUAGAUUAGGAUUUAUCUGUUAGAUUUAUUUCUUAUCCCAUGUGGACUAGAAAUAUAACAGAUAAUUACAAAUAUUUAUUUCUUAUCCUAUAUGGAUUAGAAAUAUUUUAGAUAAGUCCCAAUAUGGACGAAUCCUAACACUUUCGAUUGCUAGGUAAUGAUAGCAAAAAUUUGUAAAAAUUAUUUUCUAGAAACUUCAAAUACGUUAGAUCAAGUUUAACGGAGCCGAUCGUCGAUUCGAAAACUCCAUCAUCGAAAACGGCUUAGGAGCACGGAUGCCUCCGUACUCCUGAGAGCACAGCAGCCCUGCUCUCUCUCUCUCUAUAUAUAUAUAUAAUUAAGCUAGAAUACUUUUAGAAGCACCAUCUCCUUGGUGUUUCUAAGUUUUUAGCCCUUGGAUCUACUCCUUGAUUAUUAAUAGCCUUUAGAUCAAACACUAUUCCACCUACCACCACCUACCACCAUCAUUCCAACUCUACAUUUCUUCAUCCAAAAGCUAAAAACUCAAAAGCACCACCUCUUUGGUGUUUUUGGAAGUAUUUUAGCGCAACUAUAUAUAUAUAUAUAUAUAGAGAGAGAGAGAGAGAGAGAGUCCGGCUACUAUACUCUUAUGAGUACGAUCGAGUUCGUACUCAUAAGUUGUUUUCGAUGAUAGAACUUCCGAAUCGACGAUCCAUACUGUGAAACAUUAUCUAGAGCAUUUAAAACUUUUAGAAUUAAAUUUUAUAAUUUUUCGAUAUCAUUUACCCUACGAUCAAAAGCUCACAAAAUUGACAAUUUUUAACGACCGGUAUGAAAUAUUUGCUAGUUUAACGGUGUAAAAGAAUCGGAAUAGGUUGAAUUUUUGAUAGAAAAUUCUAUUCACUACCUAAAUAAAGAUCAAUAACUCCGACCUUAAAUUGAAGGAUCCGAUCAUCCAUUUUUGGGAUGUCAUUCGAUUUUGACCGUUCAUUUUAUACCCACUUGAUGGACUUUAUAAUAAUUUCGAAAAAUUACGAAAUUUUUUUUUUAGAAGUCUCAAAUACUCUAGAUCAUAUUUAACAGUGUUGAUCGUCGAUUCGAAAAUCAUAACAUCGAAAACAACUUAUGAGUACGAAUGGCUCUAUACUCAUAAUAGUAUAGUAGCCCUACUCUCUCUCUCUCUCUCUAUAUAUAUAUAUAAAGAAACAUUCUACC